CUCUUGAGUUUCCUCAUUUCGUGUUUUCCCGAUUUUGUAGGUUAUAAGCCUUGACUCCCUAAUUCGACAUUUGUUAGAAAAGAAGUUGUUAGCUGUAAAUACCAUUUUAUAUAUGAGGAAUACAUUUGUCUUUUUUUAUUUAUGGCUUCUAUAUAUAUUGUUCCAUAUAUUGCUCCGAGCAUGCAAUGGUUGCUCAUAAGUGAUACAUCAACAAAAUUGUGUGACACUAUAAAUUUGUGAUUAUCUUAUAAUAUGACAAUUUUGGUCAUCCUGAUUCUGCAUUAUAUAUCUACUUGUUCAAUGUUCUUGAAGCGAUAUGUAGUAGAUUUGAUCGGGUCUCGUAAACAUGGGUCUAAGGUAUUUAUUGUAUCAACUUCUGAUUUGUAGGUAAAUACCAUAUAAGCGUCGUUUAAUAAUCUACAAUGAAAUUUACUUUGCCUAUGCAGUGCCAAGGUUCACUACUUGGAUGCGGCCGCUGCAGGCAGCAAAUUCUGGUCUACACCAUCACUGCCUCAGCAACUCGACGUCACACAUGGGUGAGAUAGCCAUAACUACUCGUGCACUUGUGUCUUGCUACAUGAGGUUACCAUUGAGGCUAGCGUCUUCCCCUUCCUGCUGGAUCUCGUGAGGGACCUUGCUGCUCCGCUAGACGUAAUUGAUGGGAAGAUGAUACGUUCAUUUUGCAUCAUGCUUUCAUGUUAUAUUCCCCCGAAAGGUCUGACCCUCGUAUCACACAAAUUUCCUCUAUUUUCGUUUCGAGCAUGUUUUCUGCCGCAGAUUUAGGCCAAGAUGUCUUUUCAAAAUUCAGAGGGGGAGAGCUAUGUGGCCGAUUACCUUGCUAACCCCAAGGUCUACGGGGACUUGGAUCCUUAUGGCUGGACCACUGAUGAGAAAGAAGAUUAUGAUCCCAAGGGGAAGGAACAAACAAGUUCCGAUGAGGAGGAGGCUCCUCUACCUCAACUUGGACACACACAUGUGGAGUUCAAGAAGUCGAGCCUCCCUGACUCAAAGAAGAAGCCUAAGACUUUGUUUAUCCCUUCUCGUUUCUUGCAGGAGAGUAAGUAGGAAUUAUGCCAAAUGGUGUUGAGGCUUGAAGAGGAAAAUGAUGAUCUGAGGGAGCAGAAUUUUAUGCUCAAGUGGAAAUUAAAUAAGUUCAAGACCUCUGCAACAACUCCACCACCAUCACCUCCAAAGGAAGACAACUAAGCAUGGGUAUGGGCAAUCCCCUUGGCUUGUGCCCAACAGGUGGCUAGUAUGUGUUAAACUAAAAUUUCAAUUAUAUAUUCUGAGACAUAUGCUCUUCUUUGUACCGAGUUUAAGAAAUUUUCUAUUUCGUAAAGUUAUGAUAUUGAAUCUUUCAUAACGAUAAUGAUUACUUUUUUUAUACACAGUAAUAAUAUGUACUACUCACAGAAUCAAAUCACGUAGAAACCACAUGCUGGUUCUAUUUCAAAUAUGAUAAGAUACUUGCAUGUCUCGGAUGACUUUUGUUCAUAGUCCACUCAAAUUGACUUUGAAACAAGUGAUGUCGAAAUAAAAGAUUGUGUUAUCCCUGCCACACACUGGCUCCACAUUCUCACGAUAUUGGCCCGACCAACAAAAGAAGAAAAUUGAAUUACAUAAAACAUUUCAUCAGAAAGUUUGCGGUAUUUGUAUAAGCAGGUCCUAAUUGGGAUGUGUUAAAAACAUUUCAUCACUAUAAGUUUUGCAGACAAUUUUUUACUUCUAAACAAUUGUUGUUUGAUAAUGGAAACUUCAGAUUUAUCAUUUUCGGGUGCAAGUGAUGUCAAAUAAUUACUUUUGAUACUAAACUUAUAUACUUAUUUAAACAAUGUGUACCAUAUUAUAAUUUAAAUUAAUAUGAUUUUAUAUUACUCAAUCACAUAUUUUUU
rnacentral:lncRNA from 1 species